rnacentral:rRNA from 1 species
UACGGAGGGUGCAAGCGUUGUCCGGAUUCAUUGGGUUUAAAGGGUGCGCAGGCGGGACAUUAAGUCAGGGGUGAAAGACGGUUGCUCAACAAUCGCAGUGCCUUUGAUACUGGUGUUCUUGGGUAACCUUGAGGUAGGCGGAAUGGGUGGUGUAGCGGUGAAAUGCAUAGAUACCACCCAGAACUCCGAUUGCGAAGGCAGCCUACUGGAGGUCAACCGACGCUGAGAAGCGAAAGCAUGGGGAGCGAACAGG